rnacentral:lncRNA from 1 species
CUAUCUUUCAACCCUCUAAAUGGCAUGCUUCCGGUCUCCGUAGGGAAUUUCUCCAAAUCUCUUGUAAAGUUUUAUGCCGCUGCUUGCAAGAUUAACGGUCAGAUUCCAAAUGAAGUUGGCAACUUAAGCAGCUUAUUAGACCUUGAUCAUUCUAAUAAUAACUUCAUUGGAUCAAUUCCUACCUCAACUCGUAACUUGAGAAACCUUCAGCGCCUGUACUUGAACAACAACAAGCUUACGGGAUUUAUUGGAGAUAAUUUAUGUAAAUUGCAGCAUUUGGGUGCUAUUUACUUGGGACAAAAUCAACUUUCAGGAUCUCUUCCUAAUUGUUUAGGGAACGUCACUUCCCUUAGAGAGAUACAUAUGUAUUCCAAUAAAUUGAGUUCCAAUAUACCAACAAGCUUAGGAAAUCUCAAAAAUCUAAUGGUUCUUAACUUGUCAUCAAACAACAUGGUUGGUUCUUUACCUCCGGAAAUUGGAAAUCUAAAAGCUGUGAUACAGAUGGAUCUGUGGUUCUUUACCUCCGGAAAUUGGAAAUCUAAAGGCUGUGAAUUAUAUGGAUCUGUCAAUGAAUCAAUUUUUUGCGACACAACAAGUUGCAAGGAUCUAUACCUGACUCAAUGAGAAACAUGGUAGGCUUGGAAUUCCUAGACCUUUCUCAUAAUAAUAUAACAGGAAUCAUUCCCAUGUCUUUGGAGAAACUUCAAUACCUCAAGUAUUUCAAUGUUUCUGACAACAAAUUGUAUGGUGAAAUACCCUCGGGGGGUCCUUUCAAGAACCUCUCGAGUCAGUUUUUCAUCGACAAUGAAGCAUUGUGUGGUUCUUCAAGAUUUAGUGUCCCGCGAUGCCCCACUUCAUCAAAGCACAGAUCAAAUAGGAAACAAAUGUUUGCUCUAUUUCUUAUGCUGGGAAUUGCACUUGUAUUUGUUCCUAUUGCCUUUGUGUUCGUAUGGAUUAGGUAUAGAAGAGGUAAAAGAGUUCCUCAACGAGCUGAUUCAUUGUCUAUCGCAACAACGGAAAGAAUUUCAUACUAUGAACUACUCCAAGCAACUGAUUCACUUAGCGAGAGUACUAAUCUGAUUGGUUCUGGAAGUUUUGGCUCUGUUUACAAAGGCGUUCUCAGGAGUGGGACUGCCAUUGCAGUUAAAGUGUUCAAUCUGCAACUGGAAGCGGCAUUCAAGAGUUUAGUGCUCGAGUAUAUGCCUAAUGGAAGUCUUGACAAGUAUUUGUAUUCGCACAACUACUUCCUAGACAUCAGGCAGAGACUAAGCAUUAUGAUAGAUGUAGCAUGCACGUUAGAAUAUCUCCAUCAUGGGUGCUCGUUACCCGUGAUUCACUGUGAUCUGAAGCCUAGUAACGUCUUGCUGGACGAGGAUGUGGUUGCCCACCUAAGCGACUUUGGUAUUUCAAAACUGCUUGGUGAAGAUGAGAGUGAUUUAUACACAAAAACCUUAGCAACAUUUGGUUAUAUUGCACCGGGUGCGUCUCUUUGUUUUUGCUAAUUUGAACAUUGAUUUUUCGUCUUUUUUUUUUUUCCAAUCAAGAAAGUAUAUUGCCUAUUUAAAUUAAUUGUUUCCCUGUAGAGUAUGGAAUGGAUGGACUGGUGUCAUUAAAAUGUGAUGUCUAUUGUUACGGGAUUAUGUUGCUGGAAACAUUUACUAGGAGAAAGCCUAGUGAUUUUGAGGGAGAUCUUAGCUUGAAGCAAUGGGUGAGUUAUUCACUCCCCGAGGCAGUAAUGGACGUUGUAGAUGCCAAUUUGAUAACAGUACCAAUGGAUAAUUGCUUACAGAAGGAGCUAGAUGUUGUGGCAUCAAUCAUGAAAGUGGCAUUAGAUUGUUGUGCUGAAUCUCCGGCAAGAAGGACAAACAUGAAAGAUGUUGUAGGGAUGCUACAGAAGAUCAAGAUUCAACUUCUUACAUGUUGAGCAUUUUCUCAGAAUCUCUUGUUACAAAUCAAUCACUUGUUUGCUAAAUUUUUGGAUUCAUGUAAAGAUUGCUUCUGUUUUUUUUAGCACUUGAUUUGUGCAUGAUUCAGUUUUCAGAAAUUCUAGAUGGUUGCAAUAAAUAUCACUAUUUCAUUUGAUUACCGGCAAAUCUUGAAACAGAAUGAGUUCAGUGCUUCUAUCCUUUGUUUUGUGCUUUUUACUGAUGCAGAGGAUGAGUGAGUUUGUGUUCUUUUACCUUUAAUUUUGCGCAGUAUUCUUAUGUAAUGUGUUGGAGCAAAAUGCAUUUCAAUAUUUAAUCAUGUGAAAUGUGAUUGUGCAACAUUUCAUUUAUUACCCUAUAAUCUUUCUAUAAAUAGUGAAGGUCUUUCAUUAUUUUAUAUAUAAGAAAACAUAGAGGGUAAAAGAUGAAAAGUAUUAUAUCGUGUUUAUAUUGAGAUUAGUGUAGUGAAAGAGAGUGUUGAGAUAGAGAAAAAAUAUUCUAAGUCUUCCGCAAAUUAUAUGUUGUCAGUGUCGGUUGAAUGGGAAAUCCACUAAAUCAAGUGUUUUAGACAAUUAGACCCCAGGUGAAAAAAAAAAAAAACAAUUAGACCCCCAAAUUGAAGGCCCCAAAAUUUUAUUCUAUAUGCUAUAAAAAUAUGAAUAAGAAGUACUAAAUUAUUUCUUUUUUUUGAAAUGUGAUAGAAGUUAGUGAAAUACAUCUGGUACGACAAUUGGACAGGCUUGGGAUCACUUUAUCAUGUCUUACCAGAAGCCGAGGAAGAGGAAAUAGAGGUCAACACUUUCGCAGGGAUGGAAGGAUGGAAUAUACAUGAGCGAAGGGAUUGUAUGCCAGAGGAGUAUGUGCAGCAUAUUAUUAGAAACAUACCACCUCCAGAUAUUAGUAGUGAUAUUGACCAGGCAAAGUGGAUGCUGGAAACAACGGGGAGAUUCUCUGUGAAGAGUGCUUGGGGAUACAUAAGACUGAAAGAGGAAAAGGAAGACAAUUUUAAGCAUAUGUGGAUUAACAAAUUGCCUUUCAAAAUGUCAUUUUUCCUUUGGAGACUAUGGAAGUUUAGAAUUCCAAUAGAUGAAGUCUUGCAAAAUAUUGGAAUUCAACUUGUAUCUCAAUGUUGGUGUUGCCAUAAUCCUAAAGCUAAGACCUAUUAUCACUGCAGUACCAACAAUUAUUCUAUGGUAUUUAUGGAAAAGAAGGAGUAGUAUCAAACAUGGAAGAAGGAUGAGUUACAAACAGUCUGAUUUAUAGAGUUAGCAAUGACAUAUGGAGAUUGGAAACCACCUGAGUUAGGUACCCUAAAAUGCAACACUGAUGGAGCAUCAAGGGGUAAUCCAGGUAGAAGUGAUUAUGGGUUUUGCUUGAGAAAUCAUAAAGGGGAUCUAAUCUACGCUCAAGGGGAAGAAAUCAAUGAAUGCACCAACAUUGAGGCAGAGGCAAUUGCAAUCAAAGAAGCAAUUUAUCACUGUGUUGCCAUAUGUCUCGAUAAGGUAUGCAUCAAAACAGAUUAUUUAAGUUUGGUGAAGAUACUAGCCGGAAUUUGGGAAGUGCCUUGGCAUAUUGCUAUUCUAGUAAGUGAUAUCAAGGCUCUAGCACUUCAAUGUCAAGUUAGGAUCCAACAUGUUUAUAGGGAAGGGAAUACAUUGGCGGAUUACAUGGCUAAUCUAGCUUUGGAUAGGGAAGGUAGAUUGAGUUUUUCCAUUUUCACCGAACUACCCAGGAAAAUCCUAAACCUUGAAAAACAACUAGUGCCAAACUUAAGGAUCAAAACUAAAAGGAUUUCACAGCAACACAACAUCAAGGAAGGGGAAUUUUCUUUUUAUCAUUUGAUCAAAGGCCUUUUUUAGACACUAGCCAACAUCAUGAUAAGUGAAUACGAUAUGGAAGAAUUCAAAUUCAGAUUUCUAACAUAGCGAGAAUUCACACGAGUUCACUUCGGUCCAAUUUACAACAAGACUAAUAGCCUACUGGAGAGACAGUUUAUAUUUUUGCAGAUAAAAAAUACGUCAAUACAAAGGGCAGAGCUAUUUUUUUCAAAUAAAAAGAGCUCAAUUCGAAUGAGGCAAAAUAAGUUAUACAUCUGGUCACACAUUUGAAGCCACUGGAAUUUCAAUUCACACGCAGGGCACACUUUCAACUGAGAGAUUAAAAGACCUUGAUUUCAACUCAUUUUCAUACUUUGUACUUAGCUACAAUGUAAAGGAUGGAUCUUAAUCAUGAAAGAAGAAGUUACAAAGUCCAAAAAUUGAAGAAGAAGACGCUUACCCAGAUCGGUUAAGCUUCCAAAAACAAGAAAGUGUGGCGCCACAAGUUCGAUCAAACAUGAGAGUAUGCAUCUUUGAGGAAGGUUUUGUCUAAGCAGAUGCUUUCCUUUUCCAGAUUCAUCUGAUUAGGGGAUUUUUGUUGUUAAAUAUGAAAGGACUAUGAAGUUUAAUUCAGACAAAAGGUAACUUAUCCCUUUCAAAGUUCAUAUAACUCAUCACACAUUUAUUCUAAUAUUAUUUUAAUAAACUAUUACUUAGCCUGGAAUACACGUGCACUGCACGUGUUCGAAAACUAGUUAAAUAAAAUGGCCCCAUGGGUUAUUACUGGAAAAAAAAAAGUUAGUGAAAUACUAAUUCAAAUUUAUACUCUUUUCAUCUCUAUUUUUGUGGCUUGUUUUCUUUUCUACUUGGUAUCAAGAAGGAUGACAGCUUUUCAUAUUUAAUAAAAAUAUGAUGUUAAAUCUCUCAUUUUAACAUUAAUGAAAUAAUUAUUGCUAUAAUUUUUUUAUAAUUUGUUUUACACUAUAAAUUUUAAAAGUCUUUAUAUAUAUAUAUAUUUUUUUUUAUAAUUAUGCACUAUCUAAUCAAAUACCUUCACAUGAAUUAGAGAACAUAAACAUUAUGCAAUAUAUAAUUGUCUUGUUAAAACUGAGUGAUGUUUUUAUGUAGCGAUGAAACAUACUUUUUUCUCUUUUUUUUUGUACAUGAAAAAUAUAGAACUGAUAAUUUUAUGGUUAGAAUAACUCGUUAAAAACAAAUUAUAUAAAAGUUUUCGAUAAUCAAUAUUAGUUAUAAAUAAGUUAAGACCGUCAAAAAUGUACACCACAACAACAUAAAUUAAUUUUUUUAGAGACAAUCUACUUGUCUGAGGUCAAACGCUCACCACUUUUCAGUAUUGUUACUUAGUUACUCUAACAAAAUUUAUAGAAGGAGAAAAAUAAAUUUAAUGUAGUCAUGUAGCCCAACUUUAAGUGAAAGGUAAAGUUGUUGCAGGGCAAAUUGGUCUUUCAACAUUGCACUCGGAAGCUUUCCAUUUCUAAUAAAUAAAAUAUAUAAAAGAAAAUUAGAUGUAGUCAUGUAGCACAACUUUAAACCACAGAAUAUUUACUAUAGAGAAAAUGAAAGCAAGACUUGGUAGAUUCACAUUCUUUAUUGUCCUUUUUAUCAUCCUCAACAAAUUAAGUGAAAACAACAACAACAACAAGACAAUGGAAAGUUUUGCUAAUUUAUCUACUUAUCUAAAAUGAGGGGUUUCAACAGUACUUGAAAUCAAACUGACAACAACCAAUGUAGACACAUUUUUUUUGUUUAAUAGUUUAGUAUGCAUGAAGAAAAGUCCCUUUAAAAAAAGAUUAGAAAGAAAAGUCUCAUAAACACUUUCCUACUAAUAUUUUUACAUAUGGAGAAAGCCUUAAGAUCUUUUCUCUUAACACUACUCUUGUUGCUUCACUAUGUUAUGCCUAGUUCAACCAUGACUCGUACCAACGUUUCUACGGAUCAAUUAACUCUUCUCUCUUUGAAAUCUCAAAUUAGUUCCGACCCUUUCCAUUACUUGGAUGAAAGUUGGUCUCUCAAUAUUUCUGUUUGUCAUUGGGUAGGAGUCACUUGUGGUUCUCGCCACCAGCGAGUGAAGGCCUUGAAUUUUUCCAACAUGGCUCUUAUAGGGAGGAUUCCCCGUAAUUUUGGAAACCUCACAUUUCUUGUUUCUCUUGACUUGGGAAGCAACAACUUCCAGGGAAAUUUGCCUCAAGAAAUGGCACACUUGCGUCGGCUUAAGUUUGAACAAAUUCAGAGGGGAAAUUCCUUCUUGGUUUAGGCUUUUACACCAACUUCAAUAUGUAAGUCUUAGAAAUAAUAGUUUCACUGGUUCACUCCCAUCCUCGUUGCAUUUUGUUUCACUAUGGAGGAACAAUCUCAAAGGAUCCUUACCACGGGAGAUUGUCAACUUAACCAAGAUGCAAGUUUUAUAUCUUAACGAAAAUAGGUUUGUUGGUACGUAUUCAAAGUGAUAGCAAUCUGUAUUGAACUAGCUAGUUAGUAAACUUAAAUCUUUCUUCAUGUGUUGACAGGUGAAAUACCCAAAGAGAUAAGAAAUCUCGUUGAGUUGGAGAAACUUGGUCUUCAGUUUAAUAGUUUUAGUGGUUCACUUGAUAUGGAGAUGUUCAACAUAUCAGGGAUGAGAGCAAUUGAUCUUUCAGCCAACAAUCUACCAGGGACCAUCCAACCAAACAUAGGUUCUAUCUUACCCAACAUUGAAGAGCUUUAUCUGAGUCGCUUAACCAAUCUCGUUGGGACUAUUCCUUAUUCUAUCUCCAAUUGUUCAAAGCUUACUAAUCUAGAGCUUUCAUACAACAAACUCACAGGAUUGAUUCCCAAUUCUCUUGGAUAUUUGACUCAUCUACGCUUCCUAAACUUGGGGGGAAACAAUUUAACCAGUGAUUCAUUUUUAAGCUUCCUCACUUCCUUAACCAAUUGCAGAAAUUUAACAUCUCUUUAUCUAUCUUUCAACCCUCUAAAUGGCAUGCUUCCAGUCUCCGUAGGGAACUUCUCCAUAUCUCUUGUAAUUUUUUAGCCACUGCUUGCAAGAUCAACGGCCAGAUUCCAAAUGAAGUUGGAAACUUAAGCAGCUUAUUAGACCUUGAUCUUUCUUAUAAUAACUUAAUUGGAUCAAUUCCAUCAUCAACUCAGAACUUGAGUAACCUUCAGCGUAUGCAUUUUGAAUACAACAAACUUACAGGAUUUAUUGGAGAUCAUAUAUGUAAAUUGCAUUAUUUGGGUUUUGAUAGACUUCACUCAAAAUCAACUUUCAGGAUCUAUUCCAAAUUGUUUAGGGAACGUUACCUCCCUUAGAGAGAUAUAUCUGAAAUCCAAUAAAUUGAGUUCCAAUAUACCAACAAGCUUAGGAAAUCUGAAAGAUUUAGUGGUUCUUGACUUAUCAUCAAACAACAUGGUUGGUUCUUUACCUCCGGAAAUUGGAAAUCUAAAAUCUGUGAUACAGAUGGAUUUGUAGAUGAAUCAAUUCUCAAAUGGAAUUCCAAGAGAAAUUGGAGGAUUGCAAAAUCUGGUGCAUCUUUCUUUGAGACACAACAAGUUGCAAGGAUCUAUACCUGACUCAAUGAGCAACAUGGUAGGUUUGGAAUUCCUAGACCUUUCUCAUACUAAUAUAUCAGGAAUCAUUCCUAUGUCUUUGGAGAAACUUCAAUACCUCAAGUAUUUCAAUGUUUCUGACAACAAAUUGCACGGCGAAAUACCCUCGGCGGGUCCUUUCAAGAACGUCUCGAGUCUUUUUUUCAUCAACAAUGAAGCAUUGUGUGGUUCUUCAAGAUUUAGCGUCCCUCCAUGCCCCACUUCAUCAAAGCAUAGGUCAAAUAGGAAAAAAAAUCUUAUGCUGGGAAUUGCACUUGUAUUUGUUCCUAUUACCCUUGUGUUUGUAUGGAUAAGGUAUAGAAGAGGUAAAAGAUCUCCUCAGCAAACUGAUUCAUUGUCUAUGGCAACAACGGAAAGAAUUUCAUACUAUGAACUGCUCCAAGCAACUGAUUCGCUUAGCGAGAGUAAUCUGAUUGGUUCUGGAAGUUUUGGCUCUGUUUAAAAAGGCGUUCUCAGGAGUGGGACUGCCAUUGCAGUUAAAGUGUUCAAUCUGCAACUGGAAGCGGCAUUCAAGAGUUUUGAUACAGAAUGUGAAGUUUUACGCAGCCUUCGCCACAGGAAUCUCGUGAAAGUCAUCACUAGUUGCUCCAACCUUGAUUUUAAGGCUUUAGUGCUCGAGUAUAUGCCUAAUGGAAGUCUUGACAAGUAUUUGUAUUCGCACAACUACUUCCUAGACAUCAGACAGAGACUAAGCAUUAUGAUAGAUGUGGCAUGUGCGUUGGAAUAUUUUCAUCAUGGAUGCUCCUCUCCCGUGAUUCACUGUGAUCUGAAGCCUAGUAACGUCUUGCUGGAUGUGGAUAUGGUUGCCCACCUAAGCGACUUUGGUAUUUCAAAACUGCUUGGUCAAGAUGAGAGUGAUUUAUACACAAAAACCUUAGCAACAUUUGGUUAUAUAGCACGGGGUACAUCUCUUUAUUUUUGCUAAUUUGAACAUUGAUUUUUCCUCUUAUUCUUUUUUUUUCCAAUCAAGAAAGUAUAUUGCAUCUUUUAAUUAAUUGUUUGACUGUAGAGUAUGGGCUGGAUGGACUAGUGUCAAUAGAAUGUGACAGGUAUCCGAGAUUUCUUCACUCUUUUUGGUAGGAAAUUAAUAGACUCCAGGGCACCUCUCUGGGUAUGAGUACAGCGUAUCACCCACAAACUUAUGGCAGUGCUGCAGAUGAUUUAGUCGAGAAGUACAUGCUGAAGAGAGAUGAUGUUUUGGUGCUACUUAAGAACAACUUGUCCCAAGGCUCAAGGGUGGCCAAUUGAAUAUAUUUCACCCAAAUUAUAAUGCGUAUGUGUCAAGUAUCCAUUUGUACAUUGUGGCACGAACUCUACGCACAAGUUUAAAGUUUUUCUUUAAAAAAAAAUAAAAUUGCAAGACUUGGUUGUCCAAUUGGUCAAGUCUUCAAACGAUAAAAUCCAUACAAAUUAACGUUGUUUUUUUAUUUUCAAGAAUAGAAAUUUAUAAAAAUAUCUCUGAAUAAAAAAAUUGGCUUCAACUUACAUAUUAGGUAGACACUUAUACUUGUAUUAAAUUGAAGAAAUAGACACAUGUGUCCUAAGUGACAUAAUACCUAUAAGAUGCCACGUAGGACACAAAAUUGUCAUUACGUAGGACAAAUGUAUUUAUUUGUUCUAUUUUAUACAAGUUUAAGUGGCUAGUUGUGCACACCCAAAGUUAAAGGGCAUAGUUAUCAGCUGAAGUCAAAUUAAGAGUCAUGUUUAUAUAUUAUGGCCUUUAAAUAUAACUUUGAGCAUCUUUUGAACAAGUUAAUUAGAUGUACAUCUUUGCCCCACAUUUACGUUUGCAAGACUUGGUUGAUUUUGGUCUUCUUCAGUUUGUCAAAUCUUUAGGACCCACGAAACUUGGAAAUUUUUCCUAAAACAAUCACAACCAAUACAAAUUAAUGGGAAAAGGUAGAAGACCCAAAUCUCAGAGACACACCUUAAUUAAACUAAGGUCCUAUUACCCCUUGAACUCAUUUUUUUUUGUGAUUUUGGACACCUUUUUGACUUAUGUGGCAUCCAAAUAUCUCCUACGCGCCUCAACUGCGUGGAGUCACGGGGUGUGCCACAUAAAAAAAGUCAAUGCAUCAAAAAGAGAGAAAAAAAACUUGAUUGUUUAUAUUUGAUAUUGAUAAAUGUUGAGAUCAUUCAUGGUAGAAUCCCUAGGUUAAACAAAUAACAUUCAGCUCACUUGUUAAAAAAUAAUAAUCUUGAACACCCUUGAUGAAAUAUCUGGCUCCGCCAAUGCUUGUAAAGAAAUAGAGGAACGAUGUAUACUUAGUGAAGAGGAAGUUACGAGUUUUAUAUUGGAUUUCUUUUUCUUUUCUUUUUUUGAGAAUUUUUAAAAAUGAAGGACAAAAUAGUAAAAGACUUGAUCAAAUCAAAAGUGUUCUUAAGCUAAAAAUUAAUAAGUUAUGGAUGACCAACUUAUGACUUUGUUGAUUUUAGUUUAUAAGUACUUUGAAUGUUUACUAAACAAGUACAUAGCUAAAAAAAUGAUUUCUAAGUUAGUUUAACGAGCCUAUAAGCUUAGUCAAACAUCUCCCAAAUAUCUCAUUUUGUACAUUUUAUCUCCUAAGUGAGAAGCAAUAAUGAUCAAAACAAUGAUGUAUUUUAUUUUUAUUUUUUUGCAAGAUUCAUACAUGAACUAUCAUGUGUUUGUAUAUUUUAUCUGAACUAUCACAAAUUAUACAAGUUAACUCUUUUUUCCGUAAAAUCUCAAAUCAUUUUGGACCCGUUUCACUUCUCGAUAUAGCUAGCUAGCUAGUGGACAUACCUUUAGUAGAAGGCAACUUGGGAAGUCUUUGGACUAAAUAGAUGAAUAACUUUGCCACCACAUUUAUGGUUUCCAAAACUUGAUGUAUAUUUGGUCCUAACCAAUUUUGACAAGUCUUUGGACCCACAUAACCUGGAAAAUUCCCUAAAAUGAUAAUAGCCAAUACAAAUUAAUGUUGUGUAUUAAUUUAUUUUAAAAAAGAAAACGAAAAAAUAUACCCCUCAUUAAAAAUAUGAUGCAUAUAUAUCCUCACAGUCUAACAAAUAUUUUUCCGACGUAUAAUCUAAGUUGCUAAAAGUAGCACUACAUUUCACCACACAAUUAUAGAGAAAAUAAGAGACUUUAGUUGACUUGCACAAGCCUUCGGAUGAUUAGGAGAAUUUUUGCACCAUUUUACAUUUCUGAUUGAUUUGGUAGUAUUAGUAUUGAUAUGAAUAAAUAAAAGUAAUUUCUUUUAAAAAAAAAUAAUAAUCAUGUUGAUCUCAUUGCUAUUUAAAGCCUCAAUACCACUUGUUACUUGCCAUAUCAUUUUUCUAUUAAUAUUUGCACUAAUAUAAUGGAGAAAGCCUUUACAUUUUUCCUCUUGACAAUACUCUUGUUGCUUCACUAUGUUAUGACCCAAACCAACAUUACGACUGAUCAAUUAGCUCUUCUCUCUUUGAAAUCUCAAAUUAGUUCCGAUCCUUUUCAUUACUUGGAUGAAAGUUGGUCUCCUACUAUUUAUGUUUGUCAUUGGGUAGGAGUCACUUGUGACUACCGUCACCAGAGAGUGAAGUCCUUGAAUCUUUCCGACAUGGCUCUUACCGGCAGGAUUCCUCGUGAUUUUGGAAACCUCACAUUUCUUGUUUCUCUUGAUUUGGGAAGGAACAAUUUCCAUGGAAAUUUGCCUCAAGAAAUGGUACGCUUACGUCGGCUUAAGUUUCUUAAGUUAAGUUUAAACAAAUUCAGAGGGGAAAUUCCUUCUUGGUUUGGGUUUUUAGAACAACUUCAAGUUUUAAAUCUUCAAAGAAAUAGUUUCACUGGUUUCAUUCCCCCGUCACUCUCGAAUGCCUCAAGGUUGGAGACUUUAGUAAUAUCUGACAAUUUACUUGAAGGAAACAUCCCGGAAGAGAUUGGCAAUCUUCACAACCUGAAAUUGUUGUCCAUACAAUAUAAUAUGCUUACGGGUUCUAUACCAUUCACAAUUUUCAAUAUUUCUAGUAUCCAAGUCAUUGCAUUUACAAACAAUAGCUUAUCAGGAAAUCUUCCCAAUGGUUUAUGCAAUGGUCUCCCGAUACUCAAAAAACUUUAUCUAUCUGGAAACAAACUUCAUGGUCAUAUGCCUACAAGCUUGUCAAAUUGUUCACAAUUGCAAAUUUUGUCUCUAUUUGAAAAUGAUUUUGAUGGACCAAUACAUAGUGAAAUUGGAAGAUUGAGUAACUUGCAGAUAUUGUAUCUCGGAUCCAACCAUUUCACAGGUAUAUAUGUUUUAUCUUUCUAGUUUCUGGACACGUGUGUUCAUCUAAAUUGAUAUAAAUUGUUUCAAAUUAUCAUUGUAUUAAAAUAGAUUUAUAAUUAAAUUACAUGAAUAUCGUUCAUUUUCAAACAAAAAAUAGUUCAAAUAAUUGGAAUAUACUCUUGGAUACCAAUAACAAAUUAAAAUAUGACAACAAAGUAUCUCUUCUCCAAAUAAAAUAAAAAAUGAUAAUAUUUAGUAUUUUAAAAUACUAUAAUUAUAAACACAAAUUAAUAUAUGUAUAUUCUUAUCUCAUAUGUAUGGGCUAACAGAUGUUAUUGGCAUACUCCUAUUAAAAUCUGCAGCGUAUAUAAAACUUCUCAAAUAAAGGUCACCUUUUUCCUCAUAGUACAUGAAACUUCACAUGUUGUCCAAAAAAAAAUUACAAUAUAAUUUAAAGUGUCAAUUACAACAAAUAGCAAAGAAAUAGAUAUAAUUAUUGUAUUACACAAAUCUAAAAAAGUUGUCUAGAUGAUAGUAUCGACAAAUCAAUCGAAGUAGAUAACAUCCUAUUAUAAUUUACAAUAUGUAAGGCCAAAAAAAAAUAUCUUUUUCAUAAAUAAAGAAUGAGAAUUAGCCAAAUUGUUACUACAUAUUCUGUCUAAAUGAUGAAACUAACUUUACCAUCUUGUAAAAUAAUUGGAUGGAUAGUUGCCAUUUACCUUCGAGUAAUUUGACUGUCAUAUGAAAUUUAGUUUUUCAACUUCCUUUAUCCAUUUGAGGAAAAGGAGUGGUAUUUAUACUAUUUUAUAGUAGUUCAAUUGGAGAAGUCUAAAUUGGUUAGACUAAUUUUAAAUGUCCUAUAUUCAUUUACAAUGAAUGUUGUGUGCAUUGAAUUUCAUCUCUUAGAAUUCUUCAUGCUUUGACAAAAACGUAAAAAUGUUUUGAGUAAAGUACGUGUUAGGGUUUUGCCCUGAUUUUCUUACCUUAUUUGAAGUUAGUUUUUCCUAAAAGAAAAGACAAAACAUUACCAAAAAUGUAUUUACUUUUCAUGAAAGGAAAUAUAUUUUUCUUCCAUAUUUGGUUUAUUCUUUCCUUAGAGGAAAAGUUUGGAGAUCUAUAAAUUGAAGAUCCCUAUUCCCAUAACGCAACUCAAUAGCAUCCACAAUGUAGACGUUUAAGAGUUUAGUUUAUGGGGAGAUUUAUUCUCUCAAUAGUUUUAAUAUUUUUCUCUUAUAUUAGUUUUCAUAUUAUGAUAUUAUAUUUUUAGUAUACGUUUUUGUUAUCUGAUUUAUCAACUCUAUGAUUUGCAAUUGUAAGNNNNNNNNNNNNNNNNNNNNNNNNNNNNNNNNNNNNNNNNNNNNNNNNNNNNNNNNNNNNNNNNNNNNNNNNNNNNNNNNNNNNNNNNNNNNNNNNNNNNNNNNNNNNNNNNNNNNNNNNNNNNNNNNNNNNNNNNNNNNNNNNNNNNNNNNNNNNNNNNNNNNNNNNNNNNNNNNNNNNNNNNNNNNNNNNNNNNNAUGAUGAUGAUAUAUAUAUAUAUAUAUAUAUAUAUAUAUAUAUAUAUGAGAUGAGAUGAGAUAUGAUAUGAUGAAUGCUAGUACUAUUGUAUCUAAUUACCUUAGAUCUUUUUUUAUUACACAUUAAAUGCAGGGAUAAUUCCACAAGAAAUCGGAAAUCUUGUUAAUUUGAUGAAGUUAGCCGUGGAGAUAAACCAGAUUACCAGCUCUAUCCCGAUCUCCAUAUUCAAUAUCUCAUCGUUGCAAUUUGUUUCACUAUGGUCGAACAAUCUCAAGGGAUCCUUACCACGCGAGAUUGGCAACUUAACCAAGAUGCAAUUUUUAUAUCUAGAGGAGAAUAGGUUUACUGGUACGUAUACAUUCAAAGUGAUAGCAAUCUGAACUAGCCAAUUUUUAGUUAAACUCAUUCUUUCUUCAGGUGAAAUACCCAAAGAGAUGAGAAAUCUCGUUGAGUUGGAGGUACUUAAUCUUGAGUUUAAUAGUUUUAGUGGUUCACUUCCAAUGGAGAUCUUCAACAUAUCACGACUGAGAAAUAUUGCUCUUUCAGGCAAUAAUCUAUCAGGAACUCUACCACCAAACAUAGGUUCUACCUUACCCAACAUUGAAAUACUUUAUCUGAAUAGCUUAACCAAUCUUGUUGGGACUAUUCCUCAUUCUAUCUCCAAUUGUUCAAAGCUUACUAGACUAGAUCUUUCAAGAAACAAACUCAGUGGCUUGAUUCCCAAUUCUCUUGGAUAUUUGACUCAUCUAAACAUCUUAAACUUCCGGGGAAACAAUUUAACCUAGUGAUUCAUUUUUAAGCUUCCUCACUUCCUUAACCAAUUGCAGAAGAUUAACAGUUCUUUAUGUAUCUUUCAACCCUCUAAAUGCCAUGCUUCCGGUCUCCGUAGGGAACUUCUCCAUAUCUCUUAUAGAUUUUGAUGCCAAUGAUUGCAACAUCAAAGGCAAGAUUCCAAAUGAAGUUGGAAACUUAAGCAACUUAUUAGACCUUGAUCUUUCUGAUAAUAACUUGAUUGGAUCAAUUCCUACAUCAAUUCACAACUUGAGAAACCUUCAGCGCCUGUACUUGAACAACAACAAGCUUACAGGAUUUAUUGGAGAUAAUUUAUGUAAAUUGCAACAUUUGGGAGAUAUUUACUUGGGUCAAAAUCAACUUUCAGGAGCACUUCCUAAUUGUUUAGGGAAUGUUACGUCCCUUAGGUUCUUACAUCUUGAUUCCAAUAAAUUGAGUUCCAAUAUACCACCAAGCUUGGGGAAUCUUAGAGAUCUAGUGGAGCUUAACUUAUCAUCAAACAACAUGGUUGGUUCUUUACCUCUGGAAAUUGGAAAUCUAAAGGCUGCAAUAUAUAUGGAUCUGUCAAUGAAUCAAUUCACAAAUGGAAUUCCUAGAGAAAUUGGAGGAUUGCAAAAUCUGGUGCAUCUUUCUUUGAGACACAACAAGUUGCAAGGAUCUAUACCUGACUCAGUGAGCAACAUGGUAGGUUUGGAAUUCCUAGACAUUUCUCAUAAUAAUAUAUCAGGAACCAUUCCUAUGUCUAUGGAGAAACUUCAAUACCUCAAGUAUUUCAAUGUUUCUGUCAACAAGCUGUACAGUGAAAU